CGUACACUCCUACGGGAGGCAGCAGUGGGGAAUUUUGGACAAUGGGCGAAAGCCUGAUCCAGCCAUGCCGCGUGCAGGAUGAAGGCCUUCGGGUUGUAAACUGCUUUUGUACGGAACGAAACGGCCUUUUCUAAUAAAGAGGGCUAAUGACGGUACCGUAAGAAUAAGCACCGGCUAACUACGUGCCAGCAGCCGCGGUAAUACGUAGGGUGCAAGCGUUAAUCGGAAUUACUGGGCGUAAAGCGUGCGCAGGCGGUUAUGUAAGACAGUUGUGAAAUCCCCGGGCUCAACCUGGGAACUGCAUCUGUGACUGCAUAGCUAGAGUACGGUAGAGGGGGAUGGAAUUCCGCGUGUAGCAGUGAAAUGCGUAGAUAUGCGGAGGAACACCGAUGGCGAAGGCAAUCCCCUGGACCUGUACUGACGCUCAUGCACGAAAGCGUGGGGAGCAAACAGGAUUAGAAACCCGUGUAGUCC
rnacentral:rRNA from 1 species